GAUGAACGCUGGCGGCGUGCCUAAUACAUGCAAGUCGAGCGAACAGACGAGGAGCUUGCUCCUCUGACGUUAGCGGCGGACGGGUGAGUAACACGUGGAUAACCUACCUAUAAGACUGGGGUAACUUCGGGAAACCGGAGCUAAUACCGGAUAAUAUAUUGAACCGCAUGGUUCAAUAGUGAAAGACGGUUUUGCUGUCACUUUUAGAUGGAUCCGCGCCGCAUUAGCUAGUUGGUAAGGUAACGGCUUACCAAGGCAACGAUGCGUAGCCGACCUGAGAGGGUGAUCGGCCACACUGGAACUGAGACACGGUCCAGACUCCUACGGGAGGCAGCAGUAGGGAAUCUUCCGCAAUGGGCGAAAGCCUGACGGAGCAACGCCGCGUGAGUGAUGAAGGUCUUCGGAUCGUAAAACUCUGUUAUUAGGGAAAAACAAAUGUGUAAGUAACUAUGCACGUCUUGACGGUACCUAAUCAGAAAGCCACGGCUAACUACGUG
rnacentral:rRNA from 1 species